rnacentral:rRNA from 1 species
UACGAAGGGGGCUAGCGUUGUUCGGAUUUACUGGGCGUAAAGCGCACGUAGGCGGAUUGUUAAGUCGGGGGUGAAAUCCUGGAGCUCAACUCCAGAAUUGCCUUCGAUACUGGCUUUCUAGAGGCUGGAAGAGGUUAGUGGAAUUCCCAGUGUAGAGGUGAAAUUCGUAGAUAUUGGGAAGGACACCAGUGGCGAAGGCGGCUAACUGGUCCAGAUCUGACGCUGAGGUGCGAAAGCGUGGGGAGCAAACAGGG